AUGUUACUCCCUCCGUCCAACAAAAGAUGUCUCAAGUUUGUCAAAAUUUGGAUGUAUCUAGACAUGACUUAGUAUAUAGAUGCAUUCAAAUUUGAUCAAACUUGAGACAUCCUUUGUUGGACGGAGGGAGUACCAU
rnacentral:pre_miRNA from 1 species